rnacentral:tRNA from 1 species
GCGCUGUUAGCUCAGCUGGAUAGAGUAGGUGGCUUCGAACCACUUGGUCGUGGGUUCGAAUCCCUCACAGCGUACCA